rnacentral:lncRNA from 1 species
AGAGAGAAAGUAGAAUGUGCCUAUAAAGGACAAGAACACAAAAAUAAUCGGUCAAAACAAACGAAAAUCAUACAUAAAGUAGUUAAUUAACAUGCAUUUUGUAUCAAAUGAAAAGAAAGAUUACAUGUGAUGGUCGUCAAACUUCGUUCGAGAAAAGUUUGAGCAUAGAAGAGGGUCUCGUGCGCUAAGUUUAAGUGAAUGAAUUUUCAAUCUCCC